CUACAUGGUAUCGAGUCGAAAGUAAACAAGAAGUAUACUCUCCUUUGUCAAUUAUUAUUCUGUAUGGCGCGUUCCUGGCGUUGUUCCUGUAUAGAGUUGGAUUGAGUGUGUUUAUGUGGAUGUAAUACUUGAUGUUGAUAUUAUUAUUUUCUCGCGAAUUCAAUGCCCACAUGAAAAUGAAAAUCAAUUUUCUGCAUUUCUAACGUCAUCCGCUGCCUGUUGGGAGUUGAACUGCUGUGCUAUCUGGCGUUGCUGCAUGAGUCUUUAGUUUUUAUUUGUCUGUCUGACAGCACGAAAAAGUCCACUUGAAGUUGAAAUUUUAUUACCUUUUGACUAUUUGGCAGCUAACUACAUUACAAUGUGCGUUCUUAACUGAAAUGGAUGUUGAUUAAUGAGACUGGUGGUGAGAGAUGGAAGUUUGGUUUUAAAAUGUUAUCGGUUAUCGCCACAUAAAGUGCUUUUUGGUCGGGAGAAAUUCUUAAAGUUUUUAAAAUAUUUCUGUUUUUUUUUAUAUGUAUUUAUCUGAUGAUAAUAUUUUUAUUUGUAUAUUGUUUAAGGAAAAUAUAAUAAAAUUGGACCAGAAUGCAAUAAAAUGAAA